AGUUUUUCUCUCUGACAAGGUGUGUGAGGGAUGGAGGUGGACAGCAGGCUCCUAUAAAACACACAUUUCUCCUCACAGACAGGAAGUGGAGUGUGUGCAAGCACCCUUUGAGGACCAUCGGGACUGCAGCCGAAACAAAAAGACAUUUAAACAGGAAAAAACAGAAGAAGAAGAAGAAACGGGAACAAAUGGCUGGCAGGAGGCGAUGAGGCGUUCGAGGUGUUCGGUAAAUGAGACUACCCGCUGCUGAGGUUCAGACCCGGUUCGAGCGGAGCAGUGACAUGAUGGAAAACUUCAUUCUGUGUUCGUGACAACAGUACAGAGUCUGCCUGCAUCGGACCUCUCACCAAAAAAAUACUGGAUUUGAGAAAAAUUCUGGUGCACACCAUUCCAAAGGCUAUACAAUGGAGUCCACUCACCUGCUGAGUGGAUCUAAGAAGAGAGUGAAGAUCCAUCCUCAUACAGUCACAGCCAAGUAUGCCACACAGACCCCCUACGCCCCCCAGCCUGGAAUACACACUCACUUUCCCCAGCCGGGCGAUGAAGGUUAUGAUGACGCUCCAUCCUUUGAGGAAUUUGGCUCCUUCGUUGAGGACACGUCAGACAGGAAACGACUGACUGAAAGCAGGAAGUGGCCGUUGACGCUGUUCGGCUCUAAGGAAAAGGACAAGGAGGCACCCCAUAAACUCCAGCCUACAGGAGGGGGAGAGGCGAGCGAGGGGGCAGCCAAGGCAGUAAAGGGGUC